GAGGCUGGGCAGGAGCCACCAGCUGUGGCCGGAAGCAUUUCUGGGAACUGAGAUGGCCUCUGAGCCUUUAUCUGAAACUGAACAAAACUUACAAAAUCAAGGUGAAGGUGCGUGCGUGUGCGUGCGUGCGUGCGUGCGUGCGUGCGUGUGUGUGUGUGUGUGUGCGUGCAUGCACGCGCGCGCUCGCUCUCGUGGUUUUCGGGAAGAACUGGAGAGCACCUACUGUGGGGUAGUGGUUUCUGGGAAUUGCAGCAAGACUUUCCUCCUGCUGGACUAGGCCAAGCAGAGCUACAGGGUAGCAGCUUGUGUUCUCAUGCUAAUGUUGGCUGUGCCCCCCACCCCCACGUAGGACUAAAGGAAGCCUGUUCCCCGUUGGUUUUUUGACUGGUCAAUAAAGUUACCGGUGGCCAAUGGCUGGGCAGGGAGACAGAGGCGGGACCUUUAGGAUCCCUGGGAAGGGACUGAGGAAGAAGAGGGGAUUUGGCCAGGAGCAGAGGGUAGGAGACGGACCACCCUGGAAACAUGGCAUCACCCCUGGAUUUCACACUCCCCUUCUUGCCGUCACGGGCACUGUCCCUCAGCUACAGGCCCUCAGCCUCAGCCCUUGGGACCUGCACAGACCCUGCACAGCUCACAGUUCUUAGUGGAAAUCCCCAGAUCUAACUCACAGGCUGGCACGGCUCAUCUCAUGCCCCUGGGGUGGACGUGAGUGGAAUGCAGGCUGCUGGCUUCAAGGCAAGGAUACAGCAAAGACGACACCCCUCACCCCACCCUGCAGAAUCCCCUGCCAUCCCACUAUCACACCCAUCAGCCGCCCACAGGAGGGGUUUCCAGCACAUACAGCCUGUGGGUAUUUGCACACACGUCAUCUGUUUGGGGAUGUCCCACCUGUGGUGUUUCCAGUGUAACUGUCGACGGCUCAGCCAAUC
rnacentral:lncRNA from 1 species